AGAGUUUGAUCCUGGCUCAGGAUGAACGCUAGCGGCAGGCUUAACACAUGCAAGUCGAGGGGCAGCAUAAUGGAUAGCAAUAUCUAUGGUGGCGACCGGCGCACGGGUGCGUAACGCGUAUGCAACCUACCUUUAACAGGGGGAUAACACUGAGAAAUUGGUACUAAUACCCCAUAAUAUCAUAGAAGGCAUCUUUUAUGGUUGAAAAUUCCGAUGGUUAGAGAUGGGCAUGCGUUGUAUUAGCUAGUUGGUGAGGUAACGGCUCACCAAGGCGACGAUACAUAGGGGGACUGAGAGGUUAACCCCCCACACUGGUACUGAGACACGGACCAGACUCCUACGGGAGGCAGCAGUGAGGAAUAUUGGUCAAUGGACGCAAGUCUGAACCAGCCAUGCCGCGUGCAGGAUGACGGCUCUAUGAGUUGUAAACUGCUUUUGUACUAGGGUAAACUCACCUACGUGUAGGUGACUGAAAGUAUCGUACGAAUAAGGAUCGGCUAACUCCGUGCCAGCAGCCGCGGUAAUACGGAGGAUUCAAGCGUUAUCCGGAUUUAUUGGGUUUAAAGGGUGCGUAGGCGGUUUGAUAAGUUAGAGGUGAAAUGUUAGGGCUCAACCCUGAAACUGCCUCUAAUACUGUUGGACUAGAGAGUAGUUGCGGUAGGCGGAAUGUAUGGUGUAGCGGUGAAAUGCUUAGAGAUCAUACAGAACACCGAUUGCGAAGGCAGCUUACCAAACUAUAUCUGACGUUGAGGCACGAAAGCGUGGGGAGCAAACAGGAUUAGAUACCCUGGUAGUCCACGCAGUAAACGAUGAUAACUCGUUGUCGGCGAUACACAGUCGGUGACUAAGCGAAAGCGAUAAGUUAUCCACCUGGGGAGUACGUUCGCAAGAAUGAAACUCAAAGGAAUUGACGGGGGCCCGCACAAGCGGAGGAACAUGUG
rnacentral:rRNA from 1 species